UACGUAGGGUGCAAGCGUUGUCCGGAAUUAUUGGGCGUAAAGAGCUCGUAGGCGGUUUGUCGCGUCUGCCGUGAAAGUCCGGGGCUCAACUCCGGAUCUGCGGUGGGUACGGGCAGACUAGAGUGAUGUAGGGGAGACUGGAAUUCCUGGUGUAGCGGUGAAAUGCACAGAUAUCAGGAGGAACACCGAUGGCGAAGGCAGGUCUCUGGGCAUUAACUGACGCUGAGGAGCGAAAGCAUGGGGAGCGAACAGG
rnacentral:rRNA from 1 species